GAAUAGUGGGGUGGGAGUCUGAACAAGCCCGAUCCCGUCUAAUCUCGGAAGUCAAGCAGGGUCAGGCCUGGUUAGUACUUGAAUGGGAGAUCACCUAAGAAGACCAGAUGCCGUUAGGCG
rnacentral:rRNA from 1 species